rnacentral:rRNA from 1 species
AGUGAACGCUGGCGGUAGGCCUAACACAUGCAAGUCGAACGGCAGCACAGUAAGAGCUUGCUCUUACGGGUGGCGAGUGGCGGACGGGUGAGGAAUACAUCGGAAUCUACUUUUUCGUGGGGGAUAACGUAGGGAAACUUACGCUAAUACCGCAUACGACUUACGGGUGAAAGCAGGGGAUCUUCGGACCUUGCGCGAUUGAAUGAGCCGAUGUCGGAUUAGCUAGUUGGCGGGGUAAAGGCCCACCAAGGCGACGAUCCGUAGCUGGUCUGAGAGGAUGAUCAGCCACACUGGAACUGAGACACGGUCCAGACUCCUACGGGAGGCAGCAGUGGGGAAUAUUGGACAAUGGGCGCAAGCCUGAUCUAGCCAUACCGCGUGGGUGAAGAAGGCCUUCGGGUUGUAAAGCCCUUUUGUUGGGAAAGAAAAGCAGCAGGUUAAUACCCCGCUGUUCUGACGGUACCCAAAGAAUAAGCACCGGCUAACUUCGUG